AACGAACGCUGGCGGCAGGCUUAACACAUGCAAGUCGAACGCCCCGCAAGGGGAGUGGAAGACGGGUGAGUAACGCGUGGGAAUCUACAGUACCCUACGGAAUAACGCAUGGAAACGUGUGCUAAUACCGUAUACGCCCUACGGGGGCAAGAUUUAUCGGGGUACUAUGAGCCCGCGUUGGAUUCGCUAGUUGGUGGGGUAAAGGGCUACCAAGGGGACGAUCCAUAGCUGGUCUGAGAGGAUGAUCAGCCACAUUGGGACUGAGACACGGCCCAAACUCCUACGGGAGGCAGCAGUGGAGAAUAUUGGACAAUGGGCGCAAGCCUGAUCCAGCCAUGCCGCGUGAGUGAUGAAGGCCCUAGGGUUGUAAAGCUCUUUCACCGGUGAAGAUAAUGACGGUAACCGGAGAAGAAGCCCCGGCUAACUUCGUGCCAGCAGCCGCCGUAAAAC
rnacentral:rRNA from 1 species